rnacentral:lncRNA from 1 species
UUAACUCAACUUUCGACUCGAGCUUCACAAGAGAAAAAAAUGGUAAGGUGAUCAAGGCAACUCUCUCGAAAAAAGUGUGAAUGUAAAAACGUGUCUUUCACCUUUCUGUAAUGAAAAUAUGAGCGUCGAGUCGAAAAUUGAAUCAAGGAUCCAACAAAAAAUAAGGUACUGAGCCCGUGAUACGUGUACAGUGUGAAAAGAUGAUCAAUGAACAUAUCCCCGAAGCAUCAAGUGAGUGAC